UGAUACUAAGCCAUGCGAGUCUUUGCAGUAAUGCAAGGCAUACGGCUCAGUAACACGUAGUCAACUUACCCUAUGGACGAGGAUAAUCUCGGGAAACUGAGCAUAAUACUCGAUAGAUCAUAAUGCCUGGAAUGGUUUAUGGUUGAAAUGAUUCGUCGCCAUAGGAUGGGACUGCGGCCUAUCAGCUUGUUGGUGAGGUAAUGGCCCACCAAGGCGAUUACAGGUACGGGCUCUGUGAGGAGAAGCCCGGAGAUGGGUACUGAGACAAGGACCCAGGCCCUAUGGGGCGCAGCAGGCGAGAAAACUUUGCAAUGUGCGAAAGCACGACAAGGUUAAUCCGAGUGAUUUCUGCUAAAGAAAUCUUUUGCAAGUCAUAAAACCACUAGUGAAUAAGGGGUGGGCAAGUUCUGGUGUCAGCCGCCGCGGUAAAACCAGCACCUCAAGUGGUCAGGAGGAUUAUUGGGCCUAAAGCAUCCGUAGCCGGCUCUGUAAGUUUUCGGUUAAAUCCAUGUGCUCAACGCAUGGGCUGCCGAAAAUACUGCAUAGCUAGGGAGUGGGAGAGGUAGACGGUACUCGGUAGGAAGGGGUAAAAUCCUUUGAUCUAUCGAUGACCACCUGUGGCGAAGGCGGUCUACCAGAACACGUUCGACGGUGAGGGAUGAAAGCUGGGGGAGCAAACCGGAUUAGAUACCCGGGCAGUCCCAGCUGUAAACGAUGCAGACUCGAUGAUGCAUUGGCAUAUAGCCAGUGCAGUGUCGCAGGGAAGC
rnacentral:rRNA from 1 species